AACGAACGCUGGCGGCAUGCCUAACACAUGCAAGUCGAACGAGACCUUCGGGUCUAGUGGCGCACGGGUGCGUAACGCGUGGGAAUCUGCCCUUUGCUUCGGAAUAACAGUUAGAAAUGACUGCUAAUACCGGAUGAUGUCUUCGGACCAAAGAUUUAUCGGCAAAGGAUGAGCCCGCGUAGGAUUAGGUAGUUGGGUGGGGUAAAGGCCUACCAAGCCGACGAUCCUUAGCUGGUCUGAGAGGAUGAUCAGCCACACUGGGACUGAGACACGGCCCAGACUCCUACGGGAGGCAGCAGUGGGGAAUAUUGGACAAUGGGCGCAAGCCUGAUCCAGCAAUGCCGCGUGAAGUGAUGAAGGCCUUCGGGUCGUAAAGACUCUUUACCAGGGAUGAUAAUGACAGUACCUGGAGAAUAAGCUCCGGCUAACUCCGUGCCAGCAGCCGCGGUAAU
rnacentral:rRNA from 1 species